UACGUAGGGUGCGAGCGUUGUCCGGAAUUAUUGGGCGUAAAGAGCUCGUAGGCGGUGUGUCACGUCGGCCGUGAAAACCUGCAGCUUAACUGUGGCGUGCGGUCGAUACGGGCAUCACUGGAGUUCGGCAGGGAGACUGGAAUUCCUGGUGUAGCGGUGAAAUGCGCAGAUAUCAGGAGGAACACCGGUGGCGAAGGCGGGUCUCUGGGCCGAUACUGACGCUGGAGGAGCGAAA
rnacentral:rRNA from 1 species